AAAUAAUUAACUCAACGGUAGAGUAUCUCGCUUACAACGAGAAAGUUAUUGGUUCAAAUCCAAUAUUAUUUA
rnacentral:tRNA from 1 species